rnacentral:rRNA from 1 species
GUCUCCGUAGGUGAACCUGCGGAGGGAUCAUUACUGAGUUUUCAACUCUCCAAACCAUGUGAACUUACCACUGUUGCCUCGGUGGUUAGUGCUCCUCCCCUCUCGGGGAAGGGUGCUGCCGCCGGUGGACUACUAAACUCUUGUUAAUUUUUUGGCAUUCUGAAUCAUAACUAAGAAAUAAGUUAAAACUUUCAACAACGGAUCUCUUGGUUCUGGCAUCGAUGAAGAACGCAGCGAAAUGCGAUAAGUAAUGUGAAUUGCAGAAUUCAGUGAAUCAUCGAAUCUUUGAACGCACAUUGCGCCCAUUAGUAUUCUAGUGGGCAUGCCUGUUCGAGCGUCAUUUCAACCCUUAAGCCUAGCUUAGCGUUGGGAGACUGCGCUAAACCGCAGCUCCUCAAAACCAGUGGCGGAGUCCUCUCGUGCUCUGAGCGUAGUAGUUACUUAUCUCGCUUUUGUAACACGGUGGUCGACGGCCAUAAACCGCACUCCUUCGGGGGGCACUUUUUAAUGGUUGACCUCGGAUCAGGUAGGAAUACCCGCUGAACUUAAGC